ACUUCAACGGAGGUGCUGCUGUGCCUCCAGGUGCCAUGUCCCAGAAACCUUGUGUUUCAGGAGGGAAGGGAGCUGCAGGCUCCGGUGAUCCAAGAGAGAAAUCGCUGGGCAGCCGCUCUUGCAGUCGCUACAGCAUCUGGAUGGGUGUGCAGCAAAGAUUUGCUGAUGCCUCUCACGUAGUAUUUUGCAGGAAGUUUCCAUACUUCUUCAGUUCGAGAAUUUCCAACAGCAUCUUGACCCAAGUGUUUGGAGAAGAGUCCCCAAGCGAUGCGUCCAUCCGUCUGAAGAAACGGCCACGGAUGAGCCCUGGAGCCUCUGGUGGGGGUUGCUAGGGUUGUGUCGCGUGGGGAGCCUCACUGGGUUUGUGGCCACAAGGGAGGAUCCCCGCAGACAUAGGCUCAAUCCUGAGCUUUCAUCAGCUUGAGAACCUACACAGUGAGCCACUGCAACUUCUGCAGUUCAUCAGCAUGGGGAGAGGGUACAAGGAAGAACGGGACAUCCCUAGCUCAUAAGAAUAAAAAGUGCAUUACGGAGCACAGGAUCUACCACCAAAUGGAUACUCUAGAGUCCUUGGACUCCUGGAAGGAGAAUUUUCUUCUUGGCUGGAUCCUGUUACAUAUAACCGAUUUGGGCAACAAUCUGAGAAUUCUGUGAUUUUACUCUCCAAUCUCUGCAGCUGUUAAACUUUCUGGAAAAACUGGAAACGUGCCUUACAUGAAAACGUGUGAAUCAGCUGGUUUCAUCUAUUACAUUUGUUUUCUUCAUAUAGAUAUCAAUUAUUGUUAUUCAGUUUCUGUUGACGUUAAUUUUGGUUACUACGGGCCAUAUAGUGGCACCUGGUCUCUCACGGAGUAGCACCACACACCGUAAGUUGUACCAUUUGGUUCAAUGGCACAACUCACAGAACAAGACAUUACUCAACAGGAGUAAAGAUCUCAUGGCUCUGAUGGACAAGCCUCUAAGUAUGAGGAAUUAAUUUUGCUAAUGAACAAUGCAGAGGUUUGGAGUGGGAGUCAGGGAGACGGAAGAGAUGGUGGUAGUGAGGUGCUUAAACCAACAUUUUCCAAACCUUAAAACAGGCGCGGGUUGUAGGGCCAAAUCCAAUGGGUAUAAACCAGUGUAGCUCUAGUGAAGUCAAUAGCUCUACAUUGACUCACAUCAGCUAAAGAUCUGGCCCACAGUUUUUAACUGUAUCCUUCCUUCUGUUUUAUCCUUACUCCUUAUUAUGCACUAAAUUAAACGGAACCUGCAAAAGAAAAAAUUAGGUUUGCUUUCUGUCCUUUUCUUUUCUCCUUCCCUGUUUUUUAAUUUUGGUUCUUUAUGAUCUAUAUAAAGAAAUAUGGAGGUUAUCAGGAGGG